rnacentral:rRNA from 1 species
GAUGAACGCUGGCGGCGUGCUUAACACAUGCAAGUCGAACGGACAGACCCUGCUCUUGUUGCGUUCUCGUUUGCCGCACGCGUGUGUAACACGUGUGUAUCCCCCCCUUGUCUUUCUGAUAUCUUCAGGAAACUCCGGCUCUUACCGCAUAUGAGCUCCUGCUGCAUGUUGGUGGUUGGAAAGUUUUGGCUGUUCUGGAUGGUCUCGCGGCUUCUCGGCUUGCUUGUCGGGUAGUUGCUUACCAAGGCUUUGACGGGUAGCCGGCCUGAGAGGGUGACCGGCGACAUGGGGACUGAGGUACGGCCCAGAAGGCGACGGGAGGCAGCAGGGGAGAAUAUUGCACAAUGGGCGGAAGCCAGAGGCAGCAACGCCGGGUGCGGGAAGACGGCCUUCGGGGGAUAAACAGAUGUGGAAGGAGACGAAGAGUGAGUGACGGUAAUGGGUAAAGAAGCACCGGCUAACUACGUG